rnacentral:rRNA from 1 species
UACGGAGGGAGCUAGCGUUGUUCGGCAUUCCUGGGCGUAAAGCGCACGUAGGCGGCUUUGUAAGUUAGAGGUGAAAGCCCGGGGCUCAACUCCGGAACUGCCUUUAAGACUGCAUCGCUUGAAUCCAGGAGAGGUGAGUGGAAUUCCGAGUGUAGAGGUGAAAUUCGUAGAUAUUCGGAAGAACACCAGUGGCGAAGGCGGCUCACUGGACUGGUAUUGACGCUGAGGUGCGAAAGCGUGGGGAGCAAACAGG